rnacentral:miRNA from 1 species
UUCACGUCUCUCUCUCUCUCUCUCGCUCUCUCUUUCUUUUGGAAACUCAGCCGGAAUAACUCUGCUCAUGUUUUGAAAAGAGAGAGAGAGAGAGAGAGAGAGAGAGAUGUCAC